rnacentral:misc_RNA from 1 species
GCAUUGCUAACUGUGUUGAGCCAGCCAGUGUUAUUAUUUUUUAUUCUGCUCACCACAGACAGGGUAACAGGUGAUGGUGGCAAUGGAGAAAAAGAUUGCUGGUUUACCAUGAAUGAAGGAGUGGACCACCAAGGCAAGGAUAAAACUGGUAAAAGGCUAGGCCCAUCAACAUGUGAAUUGUGAAUUUGAAGAACAUUCUCACCACCAAAAGGAGAGAGCACAAAAAUAUGGCAAGUGCCCCUGGAAGAAACAAUGGCAAUCCACUGACUAUAAUGACUAAAGCAAAUGUCUUGUAUCACAGCUGAUGUGAUGCCACGAUGGAGCUUAUAAAGAUGCACAUGAGAAGAGCUCCAAUCAUAGAUCUUAGUGCCUGAUGCACUGCGAGAGGAGGAUGGCAUAAUCCUGAAAAUAUUUAUGUUGUUCCCAUGAACAGAGGCAGUAACCAAAAGUGUACCACUUGG